AGGGCGCCCGGAGCUGGAGGGCUGACCCCGCGGGAGAGGGCCCGAGCGUCCGCACCGGGGGGGGGCGGGGAGAUCCGGCCGGAGCGGGCUUCCCGGAACAGGAAGACCUUUACCAGCCUGAGGAGGGAAGCAGGAUGAGGGCAGGCUUCCCAGGAGGAUCUUAGUUCCCCGACCAGGGAUCAAACCUGUGCCCCCUGCAGUGGAAGCACAGGGUCUUAACCACUGGACCACCAGGGAAGUCCCAGGAAGUGAUCUGUAAGUGAUAUUGUUAGAUAUUGUAAAUUGGGGGGAAACCAAGCACAGAACAAUGUGGAGUAUUUGCUCACAUUUGAGUGAAAAAGGGGUUGGGGGAUGGGAAAUACAGGUAGAUUUGCCUGUAUGUGUAUAAAACAUCUCUAAAGUUUUAAACAAGGUAUUGAUUAUUUAUCCCUAAGCAGAGGAACUGGGUGCCUGGGGUCUGUGGUGGAAAGGAAACUUCCUGCUGCACACCUACGAAAUACCUAAAAGGAUGUUUCUGUGUGUUAUUUCCCUGAAAUAAGGUCAGGGAGGGGAAAAUGAAUACAUUAAUUCAGGGGUGCAAAUUCCAACACCAACAAGAGCUAGACAAGAAAUACGAAUACAUGUGAGACAUUAGGGAGUGGUGGAGACUGAGGUGAACAGUCGUAGCCUACCUAAAGGGGCAGCCCUGCUCAACAUCAGCAGGUUGCUGCCCUGCAGAAGUGCAGGCAGACCCAGAGUUGUCAGAGCUUCCAGUUUCCAAAGAGACAUGGAAAUGGGGUGGCCACUGGAUGAGGAAGACGGUCAGGGCGACUAGGAGAGCACGGCCUAGGGAGUGGCCGAGCUAGGGGGAGAUGGAGGGAAAGUGUGGCAGCCACAUCAGCUGACUGACCUAUCUGCCAUCCCCAACACCCCCUCCCCUGCUGCCUUCCACUUAAGAGACUGGAGAGGAGAAAUGACUCACCUUCCCAGUCUCCCUUGCAGUUAGGAGUGGUCAUGUGACACAGUUCUGGCUGAUUAGAUCUAAGGAGUCGGUGGGGUGGGGGGGGUAGGGGUAGGUUCUGGAAAAUUAUUUCUCUUCAUGAUAAAAGGGACAAAUGCUUUCAGUUCACCCUAAACUUAACCAUUCCUCUUCCUUCCUGUCUUAAAUGUGAAUGCAGAUGCAACACCAGGUGCACUAGCAGCCGUGUUGCAAACAAGAGGGAAAAGCCAAGAAACUGCAGAGUUAUGAACCCUGACAUCACUGGCCUGGUAAAGCAAUGCCAGCCAUAGCUGAUCUCGAAGCUCAUUGGGAUGGGGGAAAAUGCACUCCUAUUUGUCUGAGCCACUCUGAUCUGUUUUCUAUUUUUUGUAGUCAAACACAUGCUUAACUUUAUAGAAGAUGUGUAUUCGAUAGAACUCAGAAGACAUGGGAGAAGGCGAGGCUAGGCAGGAGUCUGUGGAGGGUAAAGGUCAAGGGGAGAGGCUUUUUGUUUGGAGGUGGGGGAGGCCUGAUCAUGUUUCUGUGGUUAUAACUGGCAUUUACUGAGGACACACUAUGUGCCCUGCACAGCGAUUUACACAGAUCAACGUAUUUCUCACUGCAGUCCUCGGAGCCAGGCCCGGCUAUAUCUCCACCGUAGGGGAAGGAACAGCGGCUCAGAGAAGCAAAGCAGCUUGUCCAGCCGUACGGCUACAGGAGAUGAAACAGGAUUUGAACUCAGGUAGAAGCUGUCCGGCCCAGGAUGGACUCUGACUCCUCCACCUGCCCCUCUUGGGGCCUCAGUCUCCGUGUGAAAUGGGGCGCGCCGGGAGCCUGCCAUUCUGCGGUCCCGGUGGGGGCGGAGAUGUACCAGCGCGAGGAGCUGGCCUCUGCUGGCCCAGCAGGCCAGGGCUCAGCCACGCAACCACGAACCCUUCCACCUCCGUGUCUGGUCCCUCCCCGCUGGGGGGAUGAAGGGGCUGGGGCUGACGCAGCCCUGACGGGGCGCGGGGCGGGGGCGGGGGGGGGCGGUGCCUGGAGGGCGCAGCCUGGGCCUCUGGGCUUCAGUUUCCUCUUGUCUGUGACGGGCACCGAACAACACGCCCGCAACAUGCCUGCGGCUGCUUGGAAGGCUCACAGUGACCUAAGCCUGGCUGGCGUGGAGGAAGGGUGUGGACCUCCCCGGCCACCCCCCUCUUGGGGCCCCAGGUCGGCCCCAGGCAUUUCCGGGCAGCCUCAGGAAAUACCAGCACACACACACACACCCCCAACGCCCUCCGCGAGGCUGACGCCACCACCGACCUCCCCGCCCCUCCCCCACCUCCUUCCGGCCGCGGGCCUUGCUCACUUCUCCACUCUGGGCAGUGCCUGGUCACCCGCGCCACCUCCUACACAGUCUGCGCCUCCUCCCUCCUCCCCCUCCAGCUCUCUCUUCGUCGCUUGGAGAAGGGGGGAUGGGGGGCAGGCUGGGGUCCCGGUAACUGGGUGGCAACGCCUGACAGGCUAGGCAACUGUGAUUUGGAAAAAAUUUCGGGGGGAUUCUGAAAACCUAGAAAAGGAAUCACGGAAGCAAUCAGGGAAGGCUGCCUGGAGAAGGUGACAUUUAAGUCUGGUCCUGGGAGACCAAGCCAUUGACCAAGGACAGGUGUUUCAGACAGUAAUUCAUUUAUUUGAUGAGCAUUUAUUGAGCACUUGCUGUAUGCCAGUCCCUGUGCUAGGCCCUGAGGUCUGGCAGGAGGCAAGAUAAGUUUGUGCUCUCAUGGGCUUUGCAGUGGGGGAGUCAGAGGCUGCGAAGGGGUAAGCACUACCUCACAACCUGGGCUCAGAGCUACUGAGGGAGGGUAGGUGAGGGGAGGUGAAAGGCGCCGAGCUAGUCUGAGGAGGGUGGCCAGUGGGGGCUUACCCCCCCCCCGCCCCUCAAGGACAUUGCACGACUGACGAGGAAACAACAAGUGCAAAGGCUGAAAGUCAAGAGGAUGCAGGAGGCUCAGCUGCCGGACAGUGGACUAGGUCAGGAGGCCGCUGAGGAUCAGGGCAGGGAAUUGACUGGCCCGAGGUCACAAGUGCUGGAACGCAGGGACGUGAGCUCAACCGCAGGAGUGUCCGUAACUUUUUAAAGCGGGCCUGCAGCUGCACAGCCUCCGGAACAGCGGCCAGCCUCCCUUGGUAAGGCUGCCGGGCCACCUGGGGCAGGUGCUGAUGGAGGGGACAGCUAACUGCUGGGAGGAGACGCUCCCUGAGAGAGGCAGCAGCGGAAGUCGCCGUGGGAUGGUGGAGGCUGUGGUGGCUGUGAUGUGGUUUCUCUGCAGCCCCUGUGGUAACAGCCUGGGCGCUGUGCCUGCCCUCCUGUGGUUUCUGCGCCCACACACAGCCCUCGCUGGGGCACCCUCUGUUUCCUGGAGCUCGGACUGGGGCUGGGAGCCGAGCCGGGACCCCUCUCAGUCCCGGGAGACCUCCCACUCUAUCUCCUGGGUGGCUACGGCCUCCUUUAUAGAAGAGGAAACUUGGGUUCAGAGAGGGAUGGUGGCUGGUCCAGGACCACACAGCAAAGGGCUGUGUCAGGCACCCACAGCUGUGGGCUCCUCCCUUUCCCUGUCUCAUUUCCCCAUGCCCCUGAAGGUGAUUCCUGGGGUCACAUGCAAACGAACAGCUUCCAUUUGAAUCCUUGUUCUAGCUGGGCUUCUGGGGCGCCAAAUGCAGACGUUUGGUCAGUGAGUCUUCAAACGUGAUUGAACGUGAGCACAGUUCCCACGCACACAGGACAGGCUCUAAGUGCUAUUUACAGCCCCCAUUUGUGGAGGGAGUGGGUAAGGACACAGACUCUGGGUUCCCAGGCCAGGCUGGCUCAGACAGCCCUGGAGUCCCCCCGUGGACAGGGCAGGCUGUGACUCAAGUCUGCAAGAACGUGGGCAGGCGUGUAGGGUAAGCGGGCUUCGGGGUUGGAGGUGAGGAGGGGGCCCCAUUUUAGCGGUCGGGGAAGCCCGCUGGGGAGACGGACUGAGGGGAUGGAGCGCGGGGCAUCCGGGCGUGUGGGGAAGGGCAUUCCUGGCAAAGCGAACAGUGAACAGUGAGGGGAGAGUGGGGCGGGGGCAGGGUGGGCAAGGCCUUCUAGCCGCGGUGGGGCGGGGCUGUGGAUUUGAUUCUAAGUGUGCUGCAAUGUCCUUGGAGGGCUUGGGAGGGGUGACGCUAUUCGGUCUCCCCAGCAGCCCUGCCAGCAAGGCACGGCAGCCCCGCCCCCGAAUUGUGCUGAGGAAGCUGAGGCUCUGAGGGUCCCUGUGUGCUGCCGUGGUCUGGGGCACAGAGCGGCGGCUGGACUCUGGCUCCCAAAACUGCUCUUUGUGUGGGGUGCCGGGUGCGGCUACAAGUGCCCCCCACCCCCUGACCACAGUCGGAUACCCCUGGGCUUGCGGAGUGCCUUCCCCCAGGGACGGCCUGUCUUCCAUCGUUUACUCUCAACAAACAUACUCGGACAUUAUGCUCCGUCUGAGCAUAAUUAUGCCAGAACUGUGCAGGGGGAGGAGACACAGGUAAGAAAGGCCAGUCCCAGCUCCCCCUCUCCAAGAAGCUGCUGGACCACAGGGUGCAGAACCUACACUGUCACCGUCCAGGAGGCAGGUGCCAGGAUGCCUGUGGCAUCCAGGAAGGCUCCCAGGGCAGGGUGACCACUGGAUCCUAAAAGCCUAUGGGCACUCAGCCAGGCUGACUUCUAGAAGGAUCCCAAAAGGUGGAGAGGGGGCUCCAGGCAGAGGGAACAGCACACACGGAUGCUCAGAGGCCAGCAAAUGCAGGCCAUCUGGGGAACCCCGGGUGAUGGGUGGGGCUGCAGUGCAGGAUCGGGGGAGCCGUGCCCACCGAGGAGCCUGGAGAGGGCAGCCCCUCCCGUCCCCUGGAGCUCAGUAUCCUCGUCCACCCAGUGCAGAGCACAGGGAAGCAGAGAGACCAGCGAUGGGGAGAGGCCUGGGAGGGCCCAGGCUGGUUGGCAGGUCCCAGCUGGCCACUUGUCCCUCCCGCCCUUGUCUGGGUGUGUGGGCGGCUCACAACCGGCGCUCAGAUGAGGAGAACAAAGAUGCAAUUUUCUCAUCUUUCCGUUCAGUACCUCUUAGGCACAUUUGCAAAAAUUGAUAACAAAGUUGCUUUAUGUACCCACCUUUUUUUUUUUCUUAUAAGAAAUUAAAGAAAAAAGUGGAAGGAAGGAAAGAAGGGAGGGAGGGAGGAAAGGAGGGGAGGAAGAAAAUAAGGAAGAGAAAGAAGCAGAAGGAAGAAAAGGAAUGGGAGAAUUUUUUUUUUUUUUGGCCUUUUUCUGGUCCAAGUGGCCCCUAUAUUUGCAUUGUCUCACCCUUUGGAGUCACUGGCCUCCUGCCCUCUUUUUUGGGACCCCUCUGUCCUGGCCUUUUAACUGCUGUGUCUGUGUCAGCCUCUCCACAGCCUGGCAGCCCUGGCACAAGCCUGCUUCAGCCCCAGCCCCAGCUUCACUAGGAGGAGCUCAGAAAAGGACGGUUGCAUGAAUGAGCAGAGGUGAGCCGUGUUCCCAGGUCUCUGGACAGACUGGUAGAUCCGGACAUGCCACUCCAUCAGCCCUGGCCCAGGGCCCCUUCCUGAGCCAAGGCCAGCCCCUUGGCAUUCUUCCAGCAAUGCUGAGUCCUGAGCGGAUGCGGACCCACUCUGCAUGUGGCCCUGGACUGAAUGCUUCCUCCAUCAUCUCAGGACCGUGAAGCAGAGCCUGCGUGCCACAACUGCUGAAGCCCGCGCACCUAGACCCCGUGCUCUGCAACAAGAGAAGCCACCGCAAUGAGAAACCUGUGCACCGCAACCAAGAGUAGCCUCUGCUCACCGCAACUAGAGAAAGCCCACGCGCAGCAACUAAGACCCAACGCAGCACGCGCCCCCCCCCCAAAAAAUGGCCUGUCUUGGACUUCCCUGGCCGUCCAGUGGUUAAGACUCUGUGCUUCCAAUGCAGGGGGUGCAGUUUUGAUCCCUGGUUGGGGAGCUAGGAUCCCACAUACUGUGGGGCGUGGCAAAAAAAAAAAGCCUAUCUUGUUUGCAGUGUUCAUCACUAUAGGGGAAAAAGCCUGAAAAGUAAUGGCCAAUAAAAACUGCAAAUGUUGGGUCAUAGGUUGAAAACUAUAUAUUAAGCUGAUGCUGUGUUUUAUUGUUACACUUCAUGCCCUUGGGAGGAAAUCUGAGGAAGUUCAUAGAAACUUGUUUUUGAGGCAUGAUGAGAGGUUUGGAAGAAAGGUGUUAUGCAAAUCUCAACAGAAUUAUCAGUAAAUACUGCAAAUAUAAAAGCCUGGAGGGACUUCCCUGGUGGUCCAGUGGUUAAAACUCCGCGCUUCCAAUGCAGGGGGCGCAGGUUCGA